CGUUUGUUUUGGGGUCAGUCAGAUUAAUAAUAUGGGCGAACUGCCCAGGUUUAAUUUACGGACACUGAAGUGUAUUUGGCGACCCAUUUUAGCGUUUUGUAGAGAAACACAGAGAGAGAUGCUAUCUAUUAUUAUAAAACACUUGCAUGUGAGUCUCUGUGCCUAUUGAUUCUUCACCGUACAUACAGCAACAACACCACAGCUAACAAGAUGGAGUCCGCAAAAAAACAACCGGCAUCGGGCACAGGCUCCAGCACAAACUCUACAUAAGGAUAAAACCACCAACAACGUUUUAUGUGCUGAAGCCUAUCAGGCCAAACGAGAAUCAGAUCGACUUCGGGUGAAAACACAUCAACAUCAGAAAGGCUUGAAUCGCGGAGAGACCUCCACUUUGGAACUGACAAAACCGACACAGAGUUGGCUUUCAUCCUAUUGGACAGCUCAACACUGUUCAACUCUUCAGGAUUUGAGACCCAUCCGAGCCAUCAGCUGCUCAUACACAGUCCAAGCCAUAGCAGCCAUCAGAGUGCGUCGCAGAGACCUGGGUACAGCCCCGCGGAAAAACCCGCCCAUGCCAUGCUCCUGAGGGAGAGGACAGAGCAGGAAAGUUCAGCUGUGUGACCAGCGACGCCAUGACGCCUGCCACCACCCCACAGCUGAAGUUCACCAGCGGGACGUACGCUGAAGAAGCCACCUCUAAGAGAAGAGAAGCCAGGUAUCAGGAGAGUAUAACCAUGUACUGAUGUGCGUUGUGUGUGUUACAGCCUGAACAAUGCUGAACUUUUGAGACUGAUACCAAUAUUCAAGAGUAUUCAACACUUAUAUUCACAUUGUGACCAAGAGUGAGCAAAACAAAUUUCUUUCGUCUUUCUGUACACCAGUUUUUGUUACAUAUCGGGCAACGUAUGCUGAGUGACGCAUUUAAAAUAAAAUAUUAUUAGCCAAUGUAUCCGCUUUGCAUUCUUUUUGCUGAGAGCAGUAAACAGUAGUAAAGUUUUGACACAUUGAGAAAAAACAGACAGAGGUGAUGCUAAUUUUCCAGUCGGAUACCAUUAAACGACUGCAGGGGAAGAGACUGAACAAGAUGAUGUGAUUAAAAGUUGAACCUCAAACACUGAAAUACUGUGGAUCAAUUGCUGGAAAUAUUUGUAUUUAUGUCAUGUAUUUCAGGAACAUUACAUUCUCCUUAUUGGUCCACACAGCCCUUUCUUUUCAUCUGUCACGAUUAUUCUUCUCUCCAGUGACGAGUCACAUGCUCCAUGUACACUGUGAUUUAAUCACCAAGUGUGUUCCCAUUGCACUUGGCAACUGAUGAGCAAAAGUGACAAGCUUUUCCAACUCAGCCAAGCAUUUUUGCGAUAUUUGUUUCCCCCUUUAAAUUUCUGGUGUUUCCACUCAGGUUCGUUAUUGGUUCAUUAAAUAUGUGCAAUAAAAAGGUGGAUGGAAACAC